UUCGACAUUUCCAUUUCUCCACCAUAUUCUUUAGGCAAUAAUGACUUAUCAACAUAUGUGUGGCUCUCCUCUAUUGAACUAAAUAUCUGGAAAACGAUUUGCAAGAGUUAAAUCUAAUACUAAUGUCAUUCCAAAAUCCAACGCAAAUUUCAAACUUAAUGGUACAUUUACUCCAUAUAUUUCUUUGUGUCGCAUUGGAAGUGUUCGCUAGAAAAUAUAAAUAAAAAAAAAUAUUUAUUUUUAUAAAAUAA